AUUGAACGCUGGCGGCAGGCCUAACACAUGCGAGUCGAACGGUAACAGGAAGCAGCUUGCUGCUUUGCUGACGAGUGGCGGACGGGUGAGUAAUGUCUGGGAAACUGCCCGAUGGAGGGGGAUAACUACUGGAAACGGUAGCUAAUACCGCAUAACGUCGCAAGACCAAAGAGGGGGACCUUAGGGCCUCUCGCCAUCGGAUGUGCCCAGAUGGGAUUAGCUAGUAGGUGGGGUAACGGCUCACCUAGGCGACGAUCCCUAGCUGGUCUGAGAGGAUGACCAGCCACACUGGAACUGAGACACGGUCCAGACUCCUACGGGAGGCAGCAGUGGGGAAUAUUGCACAAUGGGCGCAAGCCUGAUGCAGCCAUGCCGCGUGUAUGAAGAAGGCCUUCGGGUUGUAAAGUACUUUCAGCGGGGAGGAAGGGAGUAAAGUUAAUACCUUUGCUCAUUGACGUUACCCGCAGAAGAAGCACCGGCUAACUCCGUG
rnacentral:rRNA from 1 species